UGACCUCAAAUCAGGUAGGACUACCCGCUGAACUUAAGCAUAUCAAUAAGCGGAGGAAAAGAAACUAACAAGGAUUCCCCUAGUAACUGCGAGUGAAGAGGGAAAAGCUCAAAUUUAAAAUCUGGCAGUUUCACUGUCCGAGUUGUAAUUUAGAGAAGU
rnacentral:rRNA from 1 species